rnacentral:rRNA from 1 species
UGAUACUAAGCCAUGCGAGUCAUUGCAGUAAUGCAAGGCAGACGGCUCAGUAACGCGUAGUCAACCUACCCUAUGGACGGGAAUAACCUCGGGAAACUGAGUAUAAUGCCCGAUAGAACACUAUUCCUGGAAUGGUUUGUGUUCCAAAUGAUUUAUCGCCGUAGGAUGGGACUGCGGCCUAUCAGUUUGUUGGUGAGGUAAUGGCCCACCAAGACUAUUACAGGUACGGGCUCUGAGAGGAGUAGCCCGGAGAUGGGUACUGAGACACGGACCCAGGCCCUAUGGGGCGCAGCAGGCGAGAAAACUUUGCAAUGUGCGAAAGCACGACAAGGUUAAUCCGAGUGGUUUGUGCUAAACGAACCUUUUGACAGUCCUAGAAACACUGUUGAAUAAGGGGUGGGCGAGUUCUGGUGUCAGCCGCCGCGGUAAAACCAGCACCUCAAGUGGUCAGGAUGAUUAUUGGGCCUAAAGCAUCCGUAGCCGGCUCUGUAAGUUUUCGGUUAAAUCUGUACGCUCAACGUACAGGCUGCCGGGAAUACUGCAGAGCUAGGGAGUGGGAGAGGUAGACGGUACUCGGUAGGAAGGGGUAAAAUCCUUUGAUCUAUUGAUGACCACCUGUGGCGAAGGCGGUCUACCAGAACACGUCCGACGGUGAGGGAUGAAAGCUGGGGGAGCAAACCGGAUUAGAUACCCGGGUAGUCCCAGCUGUAAACUAUGCAAACUCAGUGAUGCAUUGGCUUGUGGCCAAUGCAGUGCUGCAGGGAAGCCGUUAAGUUUGCCGCCUGGGAAGUACGUACGCAAGUAUGAAACUUAAAGGAAUUGGCGGGGGAGCACCACAAGGGGUGAAGCCUGCGGUUCAAUUGG